rnacentral:rRNA from 1 species
CCCUUAGAUGUUCUGGGCCGCACGCGUGCUACACUGAGUGGAUCAGCGGGUCAGGUUGCGCGAAAGUGUUUCCUAAUCUUGAAAUCCGCUCGUGAUGGGGAUUGACGGUUGCAAUUUUCCGUCAUGAACGAGGAAUACCUUGUAAGCGCGGGUCAUCAUCCCGCGCUGAAUACGUCCCUGCCCUUUGUACACACCGCCUGUCGCUCCUACCGAUUGAGUGGUCCGGUGAGGCUUUGGGAUCUGAGCAAAGAGAGCGUUUCGCUCGUUUUGCCCGGAAAACUCAGUCGAACCUUAUCAUUUAGAGGAAGGAGGAGUCGUAACA